rnacentral:piRNA from 1 species
UCAUCUUCUGACUUAGUUGGA